rnacentral:tRNA from 1 species
GCGGAGGUGGCACAACGGCACUGCGUUCGCCUGCAGAGCGAAUUUGUGUGGGUUCGACUCCCACCCUCCGCU